rnacentral:rRNA from 1 species
GACGAACCGUGCGACCGUUGUUCGGAAUCACUGGGCGUAAAGCGCACGUAGGCGGCUUUCUAAGUCAGGGGUGAAAUCCUGGAGCUCAACUCCAGAACUGCCUUUGAUACUGGAGAGCUUGAGUCCGGAAGAGGUGAGUGGAACUCCGAGUGUAGAGGUGAAAUUCGUAGAUAUUCGGAAGAACACCAGUGGCGAAGGCGGCUCACUGGUCCGGUACUGACGCUGAGGUGCGAAAGCGUGGGGAGCAAACAGG